rnacentral:misc_RNA from 1 species
UCGAGUUCUGAACGGGUUGUAGCUGGCCUUUCACAAGGCAUGUGGCACGGCCUGGCUCAUCCACUCUUUAACCCCUGUGCACUUUUCAUGGAUCAGACUGAAGGCUGAGAAUUUAUUCUCAGUUUGAUGUCUGUUCUGUGUAAUUUUUCUACCAACUCUUCUUAUCAAUGAAUGUCUUCUUGCGGAUAAUGCAAGCAAUAAAA